UAGUACUACGCCGGAUGAACGGAAAUCAUUGAUGUUGAUUAAUAUGUGACUAAAAGUCUCUGGUGCUAU
rnacentral:tRNA from 1 species